rnacentral:rRNA from 1 species
CCUACGGGAGGCAGCAGUGAGGAAUAUUGGUCAAUGGGCGCGAGCCUGAACCAGCCAAGUCGCGUGAGGGAAGACGGCCCUAUGGGUUGUAAACUUCUUUUGUAGGGGAGUAAAAUACGCCACGUGUGCCUUUUUGAGAGUACUCUACGAAUAAGGAUCGGCUAACUCCGUGCCAGCAGCCGCGGUAAUACGGAGGAUCCGAGCGUUAUCCGGGUUUAUUGGGUUUAAAGGGUGCGUAGGUGGGUAGAUAAGUUAGUGGUGAAAUGUUGGGGCUCAACCCUCAAACAGCCUUUGAUACUGUCAGUCUUGAGUGAAGUAGAGGUAGGCGGAAUGCGUGGUGUAGCGGUGAAAUGCAUAGAUAUCACGCAGAACUCCGAUUGCGAAGGCAGCUUACCAGCCUGCAACUGACGUUGAUGCACGAAAGUGUGGGUAUCAAACAGGAUUAGAUACCCGAGUAGUC